rnacentral:lncRNA from 1 species
AAGGAACCAAUUUUGUGAAAAAUGAGAAACAUGAUGCAAAGUAAGACCACUGAUACAAAAUGCUAAUUAGCAAGAAAAAGAGAGUUAUUUAAGCUCACUACGCUACCUAGUAGCCCUAGGCAAUGGCAAGAGAAAGAGAGGAAGCCAAUUGAAAAGGUUCAAGGAUAUCUCCUGAAGCAUAUCCCGAAAAUAAAACAAAUGGGACAACUCCAUUAUCGUCCUCUCGAUAAAGAAUCCAUGCACACUCAGAGUUGCUUAUCGUUAGGUGCUCUUGAUAUCCUAGAGGCAAAGGCUAGGGAUCGGCCCUUAAAAACAUCGCAAAGGUUAGUUAGGCCAACUCUUUACACUAGAGCUUGUAAAGAGUUGGCCUAACUUCUCAGUCCUAUCUCGAAACUAGGGUUUUAAGUUUCAAGCUGUGUUUCAUUUUGAUGCCGGUCAAUUUUAACCCGCCGUGCAUAUAAUUGGGUAGGUGGCUCCGAGCUCCUAGUUGGAAGACGUGUGGACACAAGGAUACAGCACAACCUUGUCUUCGAUGGUGACAAAGUUAGCAUCAAAACCAUGGGAAGGCACUGCUUUGUUGCCCCAUAUCAAUCAUGUUGCACUAUAUCAAUAGCUUGCGAACGAAAACAUGUGAUCAAGCUCAGCAUUGUUGUCCACUUGUCAGCUCUUAAUAGCACCACGUGUCCCUUAUUGUGCCUCAAGUCUCUCCACGAAUAAUUAUGCCGGGGCCAGAAGGGAAGCUAUCAUGACAAAAAUGGGCAUAAGACAGGACCAGCUAAUGUGAAGUCAACUCUCAUAGUUGCCCUAGCCCACCAGAAACAGUUUUCAAUUUUCACGACUACAUUAUUAGCAUUCCACUGAAUGCUAGAAGGGCGAAAUUAGCCCACCUCACAAAUUGACACCUCUGAGAUUUAUGGCUAUAAAUUUGGAUGAUAUACCAGGGCAUGUUUCAGCUUCCUUAUGAGCACUUCUGGUUCGUUCUGUGAUCACUGAAGAGAAUGGAGAGCAUUUCUGCCAUAAAUCUGGUUCUUGUAAAAAUGUGCCUGCACCAGAGAUAAUCGUCAACCAUCAGACUAAAAUAUGCAGAGUUUCAAUACUGGUAAAUACAAGGGCAUUUCUGCCUCUUUGACGGGAUAAAUCUUGAGUCUUGGGCCUCUUGGCUCUAUCUGUCGGAAGUUGCCAGAUUUCAUAAAUAGACUUCACCGGUCAGUGUCAGUAAACAAAGUGAUCGAUCAAUCUAGAUUCCUAAGCUACUUGUUUUUCCUGCUCUUCCUCUCCAUUUUAUCCAUGGGUACUACUACUCUAUACCCCAGGCUCUCAUUUUUCGUGCUAAUGAUCAUGCUAGUAGUCAAUCAGCUCUCAAGUUGCCACUUCAUUCACAGCAGAACAAGUGAAGAACCAGGGAAAACAGUCGAAACUGAUCUUUCUUCCCACUUCUCAUGGAAAUUCAAAGAAAUGGUUCGAGAGAGAUCUAGCAAAGAUGAGUCAGACACAAUUUAUCGAGUUUCUCGUCGAAAAAUCCCAGCAGGGCCAAAUCCACUUCAUAACUGAAGAUAUGUAUUUGUCAAUGUUGUUCUAGUGAUGCAGACAUACAGCAGUUUAUAAUGUAAUAUUACUUCCUCGUAUUCUUUCUACGUUUGGCUAACAUGAACAUAGAGACAGUGGGAAAAAGUAAAUGGGCAUACGCACACAUUUGAGCUAAUCCACAACUAGUCUCACAGAUUGCUAGAGGAUGCAUUUUCUGGUGGGCUAUCACAGCCUCAGUGAAGAUACAAGGCUUUUAUGUAUUUUCUCUGUUAGUUUGGCAGAGGCAGGUCAAACUUCAGUACUUCAACUCCCAAGAUCUGAUGCUGAGUCCUCAGUACACAACGACAACAGUUGAUCUCUUGUAUUGGUUCUAGCCACUAGCUAUAGUUCUCUUCCCCCCCUAAAAUACACUAUGCCUUGAGAAGAAGACAGGAAUCAAAGAAUGCUCAGUUUGACUCCCUGAAAAUACACUGUGCAAAGCCCAUGAGCAGUCGUUUUUACUUUACUAUUUCAUUAGUAAAAUUGGCUUAACAUUUUUGUUCUUUUUGAAAAUGAAGGGAAUUCCUCUCUCUAAGUCACAGUGCAUGCAAGGAUCCAAGAUGUAGCUAGCAUGAUUUUUGAAGAAUUUUGAGAGAAGUCUUUCUCUUUUCUUAAUCUUACUAGCAGUAUGUUUGUACAAUAAAUAGGGAAGAAAAGCUAACCUACUGACCCUCAAAACAAGAAAUAAAUACUAGAUAGGAAAGUAUCCUGCACUAAACUAGAAAGCAAUAAUCUAGAGAAUCUGGAUAGUUAAUACCAGAUUCUCUUUCCUAAACCAUAUAUACUAAUACUUCUCUAAGAUCCUAACUGAUUUUGAGACUGAUUUCCACACUCCCCCUCAAGCUGGGUUGUAUAUGUUAUACAUGCCCAGCUUGUGACUCAAUUCCUCAAAAUUAGUUCUUGGUAGAGCUUUGGUGAGGAUGUCUGCAAUCUGAGAUUUUGUUGGAGUGUAGAUGAGGUUAACAAUGUUCUUCUCAAUCUUUUCUGUGAUGAAGUGUCGAUCUAUUUCAAUGUGCUUUGUCCUAUCAUGAUGAACUGGAUUCUUUGCUAUGCUUAUGGUUGCUUGAUUAUCACAAUGCAUCUGGAUAGGUGUCAAUGAUUCCAUGCCAAGUUCCUUAAGUAAUCUUUGUAUCCACAUUCCUUCACAGAUACCAAGAGCUAGAGCUCUCAGCUCAGAUUCUGCACUGCUUCUAGAUACCACAUGUUGUUUCUUGCUUCUCUAAGUUACUAGAUUUCCCCAAACAUAGGAGCAAUAUCCAGAAGUAGAUCUCCUAUCUAUAAUGUUUCCUGCCCAGUCUGCAUCUGUGUAGAUUUCAAUAUUUCUGUUGUCACAUUUCUUGUAUAGAAGGCCUCUACCAGGAGUCAUUUUUAGGUACCUCAAGAUUCUAUUAAUUGCUACCAUAUGAUCUUCUGUCGGGUUGUUCAUGAAUUGGCUUACAAAACUGACAGCAAAGCCAAUAUCAGGUCUGGUAUGUGAGAGAUAGAUGAGUCGACCCACAAGUCUUUGAUAUCUCCUCCUAUCCACUGGUAUACUAUCAUUUUCUGCUCCUAUCUUCUUUGUUGAAUCCAUUGGAGUGUCUGCAGGUUUGCAUCCAAGCAUUCCUGUUUCUUUUAAUAGAUCCAAGAUAUAUUUUCGUUGAGAAACAUAUAUACCUUUCCUUGACCGUGCCACUUCCAUGCCAAGGAAGUAUUUGAGAUACCCAAGGUCUUUGAUCUCAAAUUCCUUGGCUAAAAGUUUCUUCAGUCUCACCAAUUCUUCCUCAUAAUCCCCAGUUAAGAUGAUGUCAUCCACAUAUACUAUUAGGAUUGCUAUUUCCUUUUCUGGAGAGGUUUUUACAAACAGUGUGUGGUCUGUUUGGCAUUGGAAAUAUCCAUAUUGUGCUACUGUCUUUGUAAAUCUGUCAAAUCAUGCUCGAGGGGAUUGUUUGAGUCCAUAUAGUGAUUUUUUCAGUCUGCAUACUCUGUUGACGUUGGAGGAUGUUUCCAGUCCUGGAGGAAUCUCCAUGUAUACUUCUUCUACCAAGUCUCCAUUAAGGAAAGCAUUUUUGAUGUCUAGUUGAUGUAAUGGCUAGUCUUGGUUAGCUGCUAGGGACAGAAGCACUCUGAUUGUAUUAAGUUUGGCCACUGGAGCAAAUGUUUCUUGAUAAUCUAUUCCAUAGGACUGAGUAAACCCUUUUGCAACCAGACGAGCUUUUAACCUUUCAAUACUUCCAUCAGCCUUAUGUUUGAUAGUAAAUAACCAUUUACACCUAACUGGUUUCUUUCCAGGUGGAAGUUCAGAAAUUUCCCAAGUUCUAUUCUUGUUUAAGGCACUGAUUUCAUCACUCACUACCUUUCUCCACCCUGAAUCUUUGAGAGCUUCUUCAAUAGACUUAGAAAUCUGUACACUGUCAAUGGCUGACACAAAUGCAUGAUAGGUUGGUGAUAACCCUUCAUAUGAAACAAAUUUGCUGAUGGGAUAACUUGUGCAUGAUCUAACACCCUUUCUCAAAGCAAUUGGAAUAUUUGAAUCAUCAAUAACAGAGGCAGUAUUCUCACAUUCAGAAGUUUCCAUACCUGAGUAUAUUGGGGUAGAAUCUGGACUUGGUUCUGAAUUUUGGUCAUGUGCAAGAGGUAUUGUGUGCUCUAUCUCCUUUCCAAGUUUUUUCCUUCUAGAAUAGGUAAGAAGCUCAUGAUUUAUGAUCUGUUUUGGUGUAGGAUGAAUCUGGUCAAGAGAUUGGACUGAGGCUGGUGGUGCUGGGAUUGAUUGGGUUAAGGCUGGAGGUGUAGUGUAAGGACUCAAAUGACUUUGGACAAAACUCUGUUGGUUGUCUCCUGAGUUAAUUACAUGAUCAGAUUGUAUAUCCCAAUUCUGAUAUUCUCUUAUGGUUGCCCCCUGAAGAUCAAACUUGGGAUAGUAUGCUUGAUGUUCAAAAAAUAUGACAUCCAUAGAAGUAUAGACCUUUUUUAGAAUAGGAGAAUAACAUUUAUAACCCUUUUGGUGUGGAGAGUAUCCUAUAAAAAUGCACUUGAGAGAGGUAGGGUCUAAUUUUCCUCUAUGGUGUAUAUGAACAAACAUUGAGAAACCAAAUACUUUAGGGUCUAAGGAAGAGAGUAGUUUGGUAUAUGGAAAGGCUUGUAGAAGGACUUGGCUGGGAGUUCUGAAGUUUAGAACUCUGGAAGGCAUUCUGUUGAUGAGAUAGGUUGCUGUGAGUACAGCUUCUCCCUAGAAUUGUUUUGGCACAUGAGUAGAGAGCAUAAGGGAUCUAGCAACUUCCAACAGAUGUCUAUUCUUCCUUUCAGCCACUCCAUUUUGUUGUGGAGUGUUAACACAAGAGCUUAUAUGGAUAAUGUCUUGACUUAGACAAUAAGUAUUAAGGCUAGAAUUGAAAUAUUCUUUGGCAUUAUCAGUUUUUAGGAUUUGGAUUUUAGUCUGGAAUUGGGUUUGUAUUAUGGCAUGGAAGUUUUGAAAAAUUUGGCUGACUUCAGAUUUUUCUUUCAUAAGAAAUAACCAAGUCAAUCAAGUGUGAUCAUCAACAAAGGAGACAAACCAUCGAGUUCCAGUUAUAUUGUGCACUUGUGAGGGGCCCCAUACAUCACUAUGAAUCAUUACAAAUGGAUGUGAUGGUUUAUAUGAAAUGGUGGGAUAGCUACUGCGAACAUGUUUAGAGAGUUGACAUAUUUCACAUUUGAAGGAUUGUGAGCUUUUAUUGGAAAAGAAGGAUGGAAACAGACUUUCAAGGUACAUGAAGUUUGGAUGACCAAGAUGAUAGUGCCAUAACAGAACUUCACUAUCUUUAUUGACAUGAAAAUUUAAAGCUGACUGACCCUUGGAUGAUACAUAGCUUCUGGUUUGAGUUUGUCUUCUUAAAGGAAUCUCACUUUUGAGUAGAUAGAGCCCAGAACACAUCUUAGCACUGCCAAUCUUCUUCCCCGUAUCCAAAUCCUGAAAUAAACACAAAUGAGGAAAGAAUUUAGCAACACAAUUCAGGUCACGAGUCAAUUUGCUAAUUGAGAGUAGGUUGCAGUCUAGGUUAGGAACAUGGAGAAUAGAGUUUAGGAUCAUGUCCCUUAAGAGUCUGCUCAAGCCUAUUCCCUUAACUUGGGAGGAAGACCCAUCAGCUAUAUGGACUGUAGAAUUAUUAGUACACUGAUUGUAUUCAUUAAGAAGAGUGGCAUCUCCUGUCAUAUGGUCUGAUGCUCCGGAGUCGAUGAUCCAAGGGCUUGAGUGUUUCUUACUAACAGUAAGGGCUGUUGAAAAUUUACCUUUUUGUGCUAACAGUCCAGAUCCAGAACCAGAGGCUGACAUAUUUGGUUGAGACAGUGAAUUUUGACUGAAGAGUUUCUGUAAGAUCUCAAGUUGUUCCUUGCUGAAAAGACUUGUUUCUAUUGGCAAAAUGGUGUUCUUAUCUCGGUUAUUGUUUGAGAUAACAUUGUUGGCACAUCUGUCUUUGUCAUUUAUUGAUUUUGAUGGUUUCCAAUCAGCAGGUUUGCCAUGAAUCUUCCAGCAGUUUUCCUUGACAUGUCCUGGUUUGUUGCAGUGAUCACACUAGGGUCUUCCUUUCCUCUGUCGAUUGUCAUAGUUGCUGUUUGAAUAGCCUCGAGCAGCAAGGGCAGAUCCUUCCAUUAUCUGAGCUGAGUUGUGAGGUCCCAUCAUUACUUUCUUUCUACUUUCUUCACAUCUAACCUCAGAGAAUGCUUCUCUGAGAUUUGGAAGAGGUUUGGUUCCCAUUAUUCUUCCUCUAACUUCAUCAAGGUUCUUGUUGAGCCCAAGAAGAAAUUUGAAAGUUCUUUUCUGCUCAGUAAUUCUUUUAUAUAGGACUGUGUCUUCAGGGCAAUUCCAGCUGUGAAUUUCAAACAUAUCUAGGUGCUGCCAAUGACGGCAGAGAGUGUUGAAGUAUUGAGUAAUAGAAAGUUCUCCUUGGCGUAGAUCAUGUAACACUGCCUCAAUCUCAAACAGUUCUGAUGUAUUUUCAGAACUUGAGUAGGUUUCUCUUGUUGCUUCCCAGAUUUCCUUUGUUGUUCCAUAUAGGAGAAAAUUUUCUCCAAUUUCAUUGGUCAUUGAAUUGAUCAGCCAUGACAUUACCAUAUGAUUUUCAGUCUUCCAUGUUCGAAACAUGGGAUCAUUCUUUUCUGGUAUGAUGAUAUCCCCUGUGAGGUAGUCAUCUUUGCCCUUUCCACAAAUAAACAUCAUGACUGAUGAUGACCAUUGAAGAUAAUUAUAUCCAUUGAGUUUGUACCCUGUGAUUUGGUGUGAUGUGCCUUCAGUGCCUCCUGAAAGGCUACCAUGAGAGGUUGUUCCUGGCUGUGAGGUCACCUCAGAGAGAGAGCUUUGUCCUGCUGCUGCCAUGCCUUAGAGAAGUAGAUUAGGGUUCAGGAGUAGGCUCUAAUACCAUGAAGAAUUUUGAGAGAAGUCUUUCUCUUUUUUUAAUCUUACCAGCAGUAUGUUUGUACAAUAAAUAGGGAAGAGAAGCUAACCUACUGACCCUCAAAACAAGAAAUAAAUACUAGAUAGGAAAGUAUCCUACACUAAACUAGAAAGCAAUAAUCUAGAGAAUCUGGAUAGUUAAUACUAGAUUCUCUUUCCUAAACCAUAUAUACUAAUACUUCUCUAAGAUCCUAACUGAUUUUGAGACUGAUUUCCAUAAUUUUAAAAAUAAAGGCAAUUCAAACAGUUUAAUUACUCACUAAUGUCAAAUAAUAUAUUAUUACUAUUCUCUUCAGGUAUACAGUCCAAUAGUAAACUUGAUGUUUUUUAAAGGAAAAAAAAAAGAAAAAGAUUAGGAGAGGCAUUGACACUGCUGUAAAUUCAUUUUUCUAUCACUGGCUUCGAAGAAUCAGUUGGGAUAGACAGAUUGAACAGUCACAGGUAUGCUGCUCAGUUUAAACGAUGUCCCAAGAGACAAAUCGAGACUUAUCUUCACUAGAUAUAGAGAUUCAACCUUUAGACAGAAGCAAGCAAGUCGGCCUUCAAUUCAAACCAUCACCUUUAGCUGCUGUUUUGACAAGUGCAUCAAAUAGAAAUUAAUUGAAAAAUGCUAAGUGGAUGAAGAAAAGAAAUGUUCGAUGUAACAUUUCAAAUCCAGUUUAGAAGUUGUAAAAUUAAAUCCUAUUUUUUCAACAUGCAUCUACAUGUUCAAACGAAUAUUAGGUGUCUACCCAGAUUGAGUGGGAGUAACGUUUUGAAAAACUUAAUUUUAAAAGCUUAAACUAUAACAUCAGAAUUACAAAGUAAAGUAUAAAUUCCGAGAGAGAGUCCAAUAUUCAAGAUAGGACACUGAAGCAUCCAUGGAUAAUUUAAAGACUGGUACUUGAAAGGUGAACAGAAGACAAAAAUUCUUACUUCUUUGUAUCCAGUGCUACUCACAAAUAUCUCAAAGACCUCUGCUGCAAAAUAUACCAACGAGAAGCAGUCAAAAAAGUGGAAGUAAGUGGCUUACCUCUCCUUUACGAGAUAUACGAAGCAUAUCAUCUUCAGCUUCAGAUUCAUAAUCCACAUU